CUUGCCUACUUUGCAGGCACAAGAAGAGUUUGCUGUGGCUGUGCAAAAAGGAGCUCUUAGUUUCUGAGUGAGGAUUUUCUACAAUAUCCACAAGGAGACUAUACUUAUUAGACAUGGUGUAUUCUGGGGAGAAAGUAUCAUUUACUUUUGCCAACAUGCUUUCUGUCACUCACUCGUUUCUUAUGAUCUUCUUAGUAUUCAGAGAGACCAGCGGAGACUCAGUGAACCAGACAGAAGUCCCAGUGAUUCUUUCGGAGGAGGCUACUAUGAUCCUGAACUGCACUUACCAGACCACCUAUUCAGAUUUCUAUGUUUUCUGGUACAUUCAGUAUCUCAACCAAGCUCCUCAGUUCCUCCUGAAGGGGUCAAGCGCAAACCUGAGGGGAGAGCAUCAAGGUUUUCAGGCCACUGUUGUUAAGAGUGACAGGACCUUCCACCUGCAGAAACUCUCAGUGCAAACAUCAGACUCGGCUGUGUACUACUGUGCCCUGAGGGACACAGUGAGAAGGGCUGCAGGGGGAGCCGAGCACAAACCCAAGGGAGAAGAAGGGCUGAAGUUAGCAGCCCCAGGAGUGAGAAUUACAUUUGCUUCUUGGGCAGGGUUGACUUUAGAGUUUUUCUGGAAAAUGAACCAAACUCAGGGCUAA